rnacentral:rRNA from 1 species
AUUGAACGCUGGCGGCAGGCCUAACACAUGCAAGUCGAGCGGUAGCACAGAGAGCUUGCUCUCGGGUGACGAGCGGCGGACCGGUGAGUAAUGUCUGGGAAACUGCCUGAUGGAGGGGGAUAACUACUGGAAACGGUAGCUAAUACCGCAUAACGUCGCAAGACCAAAGUGGGGGACCUUCGGGCCUCAUGCCAUCAGAUGUGCCCAGAUGGGAUUAGCUAGUAGGUGGGGUAAUGGCUCACCUAGGCGACGAUCCCUAGCUGGUCUGAGAGGAUGACCAGCCACACUGGAACUGAGACACGGUCCAGACUCCUACGGGAGGCAGCAGUGGGGAAUAUUGCACAAUGGGCGCAAGCCUGAUGCAGCCAUGCCGCGUGUGUGAAGAAGGCCUUCGGGUUGUAAAGCACUUUCAGCGGGGAGGAAGGCGAUAAGGUUAAUAACCUUGUCGAUUGACGUUACCCGCAGAAGAAGCACCGGCUAACUCCGUGCCAGCAGCCGCGGUAAUACGGAGGGUGCAAGCGUUAAUCGGAAUUACUGGGCGUAAAGCGCACGCAGGCGGUCUGUCAAGUCGGAUGUGAAAUCCCCGGGCUCAACCUGGGAACUGCAUUCGAAACUGGCAGGCUAGAGUCUUGUAGAAGGGGGUAGAAUUCCAGGUGUAGCGGUGAAAUGCGUAGAGAUCUGGAGGAAUACCGGUGGCGAAGGCGGCCCCCUGGACAAAGACUGACGCUCAGGUGCGAAAGCGUGGGGAGCAAACAGGAUUAGAUACCCUGGUAGUCCACGCCGUAAACGAUGUCGAUUUGGAGGUUGUGCCCUUGAGGCGUGGCUUCCGGAGCUAACGCGUUAAAUCGACCGCCUGGGGAGUACGGCCGCAAGGUUAAAACUCAAAUGAAUUGACGGGGGCCCGCACAAGCGGUGGAGCAUGUGGUUUAAUUCGAUGCAACGCGAAGAACCUUACCUGGUCUUGACAUCCACAGAACUUUCCAGAGGUGGAUUGGUGCCUUCGGGAACUGUGAGACAGGUGCUGCAUGGCUGUCGUCAGCUCGUGUUGUGAAAUGUUGGGUUAAGUCCCGCAACGAGCGCAACCCUUAUCCUUUGUUGCCAGCGGUUAGGCCGGGAACUCAAAGGAGACUGCCAGUGAUAAACUGGAGGAAGGUGGGGAUGACGUCAAGUCAUCAUGGCCCUUACGACCAGGGCUACACACGUGCUACAAUGGCAUAUACAAAGAGAAGCGACCUCGCGAGAGCAAGCGGACCUCAUAAAGUAUGUCGUAGUCCGGAUUGGAGUCUGCAACUCGACUCCAUGAAGUCGGAAUCGCUAGUAAUCGUAGAUCAGAAUGCUACGGUGAAUACGUUCCCGGGCCUUGUACACACCGCCCGUCACACCAUGGGAGUGGGUUGCAAAAGAAGUAGGUAGCUUAACCUUCGGGAGGGCGCUUACCACUUUGUGAUUCAUGACUGGGGUGA